AGUGAACGCUGGCGGUAGGCCUAACACAUGCAAGUCGAACGGCAGCACAGUAAGAGCUUGCUCUUACGGGUGGCGAGUGGCGGACGGGUGAGGAAUACAUCGGAAUCUACUUUUUCGUGGGGGAUAACGUAGGGAAACUUACGCUAAUACCGCAUACGACCUACGGGUGAAAGCAGGGGAUCUUCGGACCUUGCGCGAUUGAAUGAGCCGAUGUCGGAUUAGCUAGUUGGCGGGGUAAAGGCCCACCAAGGCGACGAUCCGUAGCUGGUCUGAGAGGUUGAUCAGCCACACUGGAACUGAGACACGGUCCAGACUCCUACGGGAGGCAGCAGUGGGGAAUAUUGGACAAUGGGCGCAAGCCUGAUCCAGCCAUACCGCGUGGGUGAAGAAGGCCUUCGGGUUGUAAAGCCCUUUUGUUGGGAAAGAAAAGCGGCAGGUUAAUACCCCGCUGUUCUGACGGUACCCAAAGAAUAAGCACCGGCUAACUUCGUG
rnacentral:rRNA from 1 species